GCGUUUCCUUUCUCGUAGUACAGAAUGAAUUUUGAUAGGGAAUCCACUGAUGUUUUGUAACAUGGUAUAUCCUAUUCUCUUGUUCAAUUGUUCAGCAGAUAUUUCUAUAACUGUGUCCCCUGGUACUGAUUAUAAGGAGUGAGGAUUACAGAGAUGAGCAAGUAGAUACCAUCUUGCCUUGAAGAGCUUAUAUUCUACUGAGCAGCACACAUAAAAACAACUGAGCUCAUCAUGAUCUCAUCACAGCUAAGCAUUGGAGAAAGUGGCUCAUCACGUCACACCCAUGGGCAAAGUCACAUUUCGAGUGGGAAUUUUUAUGUCUAUGGUGGAGAUUAAGGAGCCAUCCAUUCAUUCUCGCACACCUACAAAACUCCUGGCCCUUCUCUGGUCAUUCCAUGGUCAGUAUCUACUGAGCUCCAUGAAGGACUCUGCACUGACUUCUACAUGGGGAACAGAUAAGGCAUGUCCCUGUGCCCUGGAAGCCACAUAAAAAAUUUCUCCAAGGAGAGAGCCAGGAGGAACUUGGCCUUCAGUAGGCCUAUGAGUUGGUACUGCUAUUGUCCCAUGUUAGCGGUGAGAAGACUGAAGCCCAGUGAAGUUAAGAAUGUGCACAAGUUUUCACAGCCGGCCAUCAGGCAGGGUGGCCUGCCGACAGGGAGCUGACUCUUAGCAGUGGGAUGUGGGACACACAGGAGUUUUUAGUGAUAUAAACCUGUAUCAUGGUAAUGAGGGUUGUACAAGUUCUUGGUAUGUGAAUUAUCUCAUUAAAAAAUGUAUGUUUGGGCGCCUGAGUGGCUCAGUGGGUUAAGCCGCUGCCUUCGGCUCAGGUCAUGAUCUCAGGGUCCUGGGAUCGAGUCCCGCAUCGGGCUCUCUGCUCAGCAGGGAGCCUGCUUCCUUCUCUCUCUCUCUGCCUGCCUCUCAGUGUACUUGUAAUUUCUCUCUG